rnacentral:rRNA from 1 species
GUCCACGCUGUAAACGUUGGGCGCUAGGUGUGGGGUCCUUCCACGGAUUCCGUGCCGCAGCUAACGCAUUAAGCGCCCCGCCUGGGGAGUACGGCCGCAAGGCUAAAACUCAAAGGAAUUGACGGGGCCCGCACAAGCGGCGGAGCAUGUUGCUUAAUUCGACGCGACGCGAAGAACCUUACCAAGGUUUGACAUGCAGGGAAAAGCCGUAGAGAUACGGUGUCCGUAAGGGCCCUGCACAGGUGGUGCAUGGCUGUCGU